rnacentral:rRNA from 1 species
GUAGUUUGACUCCGUGGCUACGAGGACGACGCUGGCGGCGUGCUUCAAACAUGCAAGUCGAACGGAGUUAAUUUAGCUUGCUAAAUUAACGUUAGUGGCGGACUGGUGAGUAACGCGUGAGUAAUCUGCCUAUUACACGGGGGAUAACAGUUGGAAACGACUGCUAAUACCGCAUAAGACCACGGGAAGGCAUCUUCAAGGGGUCCAAAGGGAUACUGGUAAUAGAUGAGCUUGCGUAUCAUUAGCUAGAUGGUGAGGGUAAAGGCCCACCAUGGCGACGAUGAUUAGCCGAUCUGAGAGGAUGACCGGCCACACUGGAACUGAGAUACGGUCCAGACUCCUACGGGAGGCAGCAGUUAGGAAUAUUGGGCAAUGGAGGAAACUCUGACCCAGCAACGCCGCGUGAAGGAAGAAGGUUUUCGGAUUGUAAACUUCUGAUCUUGGGGAAAAAGAAAGUGAUGGUACCCAAGGAGAAAGCCACGGCUAACUACGUA